ACCCGUAGACCUUAUACCUUAUACCUUAUACCUUAUACCUCAUACCUUAUAGUGUAAGGUCUAUGGCCGAGACCCGAGCACCGGCAUGCUUAUCAUGAUAUCAUAUUAAUAAUAUUAUUAUCAUUAAUAUUAAAUCGUGCACGUGAAUGCAGAUACAUAAACAUACAUUUUUAUAAUAUAUCUGUGAUAGACGCAUUGUACAAUUUAGUGCAUUCGCCAUUCGUGCUUUAAGAUUUUAUGAGAAUUACGUACCUUGAACUUCUGAAACCAGUGGAUAAUAUUCAAUAAUAGAAUAUCUUGGAGUGGAGAAAACAGUUAACACAAAUCGACAAAUAUGGGGACCAUCGAAAACCAAAUGAAAGAUGCAUAUGAAAUCACGGAAACUAUUUCAUCUGAACACGUGAAAGAUGAUUACGAUUUGUUUGGCGAACAACUCGCUAACAAGUUAAGGGAAUUUGAUGAACAUACACGUGCAAUCGUUAUGAACGAAAUUAAUUAUAUUAUUUUUCUUGCCGAGUCAAAUUUGCUCUAAUGCAAUGAUCAUCAUUUUUGCCCACUUAAUUUAAAUACAACAAAAUUCAAGUCUCCGACAAUAUUCUCAUAAUGCUCUUUGGUUUCUUCAGAGAAAUUUUCCUUACUUGCCAAUAUUCACAAUGAACUCACCUAUAAAAUAUCUGUCAUUAGAUAGACGAUAGUCAGCUUCACAAUAUUCUCUGCCUAUCAAAGUAGUUAUUCUUUCAAUUCAUCGCUUAUCUGUUGUAUGUGACCAGUUAAUACAAUGAAAAAUACCAAAAAACCCUUAAAAUUGCUUCACAAUAAAAAAAUAUAAUUUAUUUUCUUAAAUAAUAACUGUUGAUAUCAUUUGUUAUUAUAAUAUUAAAAAGAAGGAUAUGUCAAAGAGUUAUUGAUUAUAAGUAAUAAUGUUUAAUAUUAUUUUUCAAAAGAAUGUUUUUUAUUUUAACCAGGUAUCAUGUAUACAUUUAUCUUAAACGUUUAUUUUUUGCCUAUGAAACUAUUUUUAAAAGAUAGUGUAUAGUAAUUCUGCUGUAUAAAUAUAUAAUUAAGUAAAAUCUUUUUAUUAAUUGUUUAGUUGUUUUUUUUCGUGACCAUUAUACUGUUAAAAUAAGUACUUAUUUUAUUAAUUAAAAUUAUAUUUUGAAAUAUUUA